GUUUGAAGAAGUGUUGUCUGCUUUCAAUAGGAGGCCUGAAGGGAACAUUGCUUCCUACAUUCAUGGACUUGUACAAUCAGGACCUGCUGCUGCUGAGGCCGCAGUUCCAAUCCAAGUUCUAGUACCAAAAGCUGAAAUGGAGAACACUGGCAGACAGCUGGCAGUCCCGGCAAUCAGAGUGAAAAACUUGUCUCACCAGUUGUAUUCGUCAGGGUUUUAUAGUUGCAAACAACUGAAACAGAUGUGGUUGAUUUAAGCAGGGGAAAAAAAAAGCAUUUAAUAAAAGGAUAUUGUGUAUUUCACAGACUACAGAACCAGUCUUAGAAAUUGAGCAGGAACAAAUGGGGCCGGACCGCGGCCAAAAUCUUGCGCCAGAGCCCAUCUACUGAGGAUACCGCUGGACGCCACCGCCUGCCCUCUGAAGUCACCGGUCACAUGUGCUGCUGCUGCUGCUCCUAAACAGUCAGCAUGGUUGACACGGCCGCCGCCAACUGCCAGCCAGGAGACUCCUCAUCGCUUCUUUGUACCAUUAGCUAAAGGCUGCAAUGCAUGCAUCUGAUUGACAGAGUUUCAGGCACAGUUUGAGCCCCAAGUGCAAGGGACGCUGGGAGAAUGUCUUCAGCUCCUGCAAUGGGAAGCAAGUUUUGCCUUGCAUCAAGAUGUAUAGGAAAAGAAGUCUUCUCAAAACUGGGAGGGUGCAGAAUAUGAACAGUUUAAUUAAUAAUAAUAACAUUAACAAAAUAAUAAUUGGCAAGGGUCCAUUCCAUGACUUCAGAUCUACCAAUAGUGAGCCAUGAGGGCAGGGCAAAGGGGAGAUGUUAGUGUUAGUAACCCAUCUUCUGCUCUUCAGGACCUACUUUUGUCACUCAUCUAAGCCCUUCUUCGUUUUUUAUUCCUAAGGAAUACAUUGUAGUCAGACACAUUAGAGAAUUAUGAGAUGAUUAGGAAGUAAAUCGUCUACAUCUGUGCUAUUAACUUCCUGUUUUUGGAGAUUUGCUUUAUGAACCUUUGUUCCUUUAUGGACAUCCUAUUGGCUACAAACUUUUGUGUCCAGGAUGAGGAAAAAUAAAAUCUAAAAGGAGAGUGGCAGCAUCCCCGGUGUCUGAUUCUAAAUAUAGUUCAAACGACC